AGAGGUUCAGGCUUUAUUUGUUGUCUGAGUGUUGAAGGACUGUAAUCACGGCGAGGAUCUCAGAAAAACAGCCUGUGAUCUAGUCAAACACACAAAGAGAUUCAAGCAACAAACCUUUAAAAUGAAGAACCAAAAAUUAAACUAGACUGAGGAACGUGGGCAAAAAAUAAAACGUUACAUUAUGUAGGAUUAGUGCGAGCGUGACCUCUGACCUCAGGUUUAGGGUUCGGGUGAGCGUGACCUCUGACCUCAGGGUUAGGGUGAGCGUGACCUCUGACCUGGAAGAUGUAGUCUCCGGGCCGCACGUCGGUGAUGUCCACCCACUGGCAGUCGAUGUCGUGGCUGUGACUCCGGCGGCUCUGGCUCCGCCCCCUCGUGGGCAGUACACCUGUCCGUUCCUGUGGCACUGCUGGAUGGAGAUCUCAGUGCCGAUGCAGUGUGUUCCGCUCAGAAGCACGUCCUCGGACCCGGAGCUGCUG